CUUCUUCCUAGCUGGUUGCUUAAUUCUGCUAAACUUGCAACAAAUUUCUAUCUUGAAGUCUGUGUUACACUUUCAAAUUUAUUUGAAAAGCAGGCACUGGAUUCAAAAGCUAUUUGAAGAGGAAGUGAAGACAGCAGAAUAGGCGCUCGCACAAAAUGAUGACGUAAGCCUUUUUUCCUUAGGAAAUCGGAACAGUUACGGAAGGCACUUCCCUAGAUAUGGCAGUUUCCAGCACUGGCAAGGUCACCUCAUACAGACAGAGCAUAGACAAGGAAGCAGCACUGAAGCCUGUUUUCACUUCGUGGCCCUUGAAGUUGUUUCACAGGGAGCUGGCGUACAAGUUUAUAGCAUUGUACUCUUGUGUCACUGAUGCAGACUGAUACAGAAGUGCCUCUUCACAUGCAGAAGGUCAUUUAUCUCCAACCUGAACUGCACAAGCUGAGGUCUAUUCAGGACGAGAUCUUUCUGCCAGGAAAUGGGAGAAACCAAAGCUGCUUCAUCAUACUUGUUGUUGAUCUCAGGAAAAGGUCUGCAUUGAUGAAUUAGUGCAACAACACUACCAGCCAUAAAAGCAUACAUCUUACGAGAAAAUCCAGAGGUGAUUUCCAGGAUGGAUUGGUCAUCCCUCACCCACAGUGCAGAUGCAUUCAAUUAGUGCCCUGAGCUUGCAGUGUUCAACUGCUUCCACUAGGCUUGUGCAACAGAAGGUCUAACUACCAAACCCCCGGCUUCCUCCGUAGCACCUCAUGCAACACAGAAUGUGGUCUUGUCAGUUUUGCAGCAGGUUGGGAAAUCGCGAUCUGAACUGUGUCGACACUGCAAACUAAAGUAAAAAGUCAAGAAAAGGUAUCAGAGCUAAGAGUCUUUCAGCUUAUUCUGCUGCUCAGAAUAAUCUUCUACUUUGAAUUUGAGUUACAGUUACCUCGAGAACCCUCAUGUGCUCACCACAGCACUGAAGCAAAACUGGGCCUGGAUCCUGAAGACAAGAGCCAGAACAAGGCACUAGAUCUCCUGCCAUAAGUUUCCCAACAGAGAUUUUCCUGGCCAGAGUUAGAUGGCUGCUCUUCAAGGAGAAUGCUCUUCCCAUCCCACCAAGUGCUCAUGACACUUCACUCUGCUUGUACCUGCUUGCUUCUGCCUGCGACUGGAACCAAUGUGAAACCUCAGGCUCUGGUCUCCUCGCUGCAGGAUGAAAAAGCACGGGCUGUAUGAAGCAGAAAUAAGAGGUAGAGAUGGACAUCAGCUGAUUCCUGGUGAUUUUCAGACCUGGAAGUUCUAUUACACCAUCUAGUUACCCGCCUCCUGUAAGAAGCAAUGUGUGAUAGUGGACCAGCACUUUUCAUUGUUUCCAGAAUACCAUUUCCCUCUCCACUUCAUUUUUUCUGACAUCAGACUGUACCUGAGUGUUGGCUCAUCGGUUCUGUCCCUCACAGCGGCACCCAAAGGUCCAUCAGCAACUUACAUCUCCCUGGCCCUUUGCUUCCUAAAUCAAGAAUUAAUAAAGAAGAGAAGAAUGUGCCAACACCAUUUUAGAUGUGCUGCCAGCACGUCUGGAAUGGGCUGCUUGUAUUGUCAGAAAAAGAAAAAAACAAACAUCGAUAGCUGAAAAGCACUGCAGAGGGAUUAAAUACAUGGGAGGAUUGUGAGCAAUACAAGAGAGACACGCUGCUAUUGAUAAGUCAGAAACACUGUUUGUUUGUUCCCCAGCACUCUCGGUAUUAAAGGAGUCAUUUGCAACGUCUCA